rnacentral:rRNA from 1 species
GACGAACGCUGGCGGCGUGCUUAACACAUGCAAGUCGAGCGGUAAGGCCCUUUCGGGGGUACACGAGCGGCGAACGGGUGAGUAACACGUGGGUGACCUGCCCUCAGCUCUGGGAUAAGCCUGGGAAACCGGGUCUAAUACUGGAUAUGACUCCAUGACGCAUGUUGUGGGGUGGAAAGCCUCGUGCGGCUGAGGAUGGGCCCGCGGCCUAUCAGCUUGUUGGUGGGGUGANGGCCUACCAAGGCGACGACGGGUAGCCGGCCUGAGAGGGCGACCGGCCACACUGGGACUGAGACACGGCCCAGACUCCUACGGGAGGCAGCAGUGGGGAAUCUUGCGCAAUGGGCGAAAGCCUGACGCAGCGACGCCGCGUGAGGGAUGACGGCCU